rnacentral:lncRNA from 1 species
AAGCCGCUAUGGAGCGAGGGGAUAACGCUGAAGCCCUCGUCGGAAUCUGAACCAGAGCCGCCGUCCACCGCCGUAGGCGAUCCGGUCAACUCGUUGACCCAGCAGAGAGUGUACCGCGAGGUCAUGCUCGCGCUCCGGAGCGGCCUCCGCGAUGUUCGCGCCGUGUUCUCCUUCCUUGUGUCUGCGGCCUCCACGACGUCCUCAAGUUCCUCUGAUCGGUCGCCGAGUCCGAUUCCACCAUCAACCUCUUCUCUCAGACACAACUCCCCGAGCUUCAGG